UGGACAUGCGGGCGGGCCUACCAUGCAAGUCGAGGGAGGAGCUUUCGGGCUUCGACCGGCGUACGGGUGCGUAACGCAUAUACAAUCUGCCUUUCACAUAGGGAUAGCCCGAAGAAAUUUGGAUUAAUACCUAAUGGUAUAUAGGGAUGGCAUCAUUUUUAUAUUAAAGCUGAGGCGGUGAAAGAUGAGUAUGCGUUCUAUUAGCUAGUUGGAGAGGUAACGGCUCCCCAAGGCGACGAUAGAUAGGGGUUCUGAGAGGGAUAUCCCCCACACUGGUACUGAGAUACGGACCAGACUCCUACGGGAGGCAGCAGUGAGGAAUAUUGGACAAUGGUCGGAAGACUGAUCCAGCCAUGCCGCGUGCAGGAAGACGGCCUUAUGGGUUGUAAACUGCUUUUGCAGGGGAAGAAUAAGGACUACGCGUAGUUUGAUGACGGUACUCUGCGAAUAAGCAUCGGCUAACUCCGUGCCAGCAGCCGCGGUAAUACGGAGGAUGCGAGCGUUAUCCGGAAUCAUUGGGUUUAAAGGGUCCGUAGGCGGGCUAAUAAGUCAGAGGUGAAAGCGCUCAGCUCAACUGAGCAACUGCCUUUGAAACUGUUAGUCUUGAAUGGUUGUGAAGUAGUUGGAAUGUGUAGUGUAGCGGUGAAAUGCUUAGAUAUUACACAGAACACCGAUAGCGAAGGCAUAUUACUAACAAUUAAUUGACGCUGAUGGACGAAAGCGUGGGGAGCGAACAGGAUUAGAUACCCUGGUAGUCCACGCUGUAAACGAUGGAUACUAGCUGUUUGGAUGAAAGUUUGAGUGGCUAAGCGAAAGUGAUAAGUAUCCCACCUGGGGAGUACGCACGCAAGUGUGAAACUCAAAGGAAUUGACGGGGGCCC
rnacentral:rRNA from 1 species